rnacentral:tRNA from 1 species
GCUCUCAUGGUGUAAUGGUCAGCGCGCUCGACGCGUAUUCGAGAGGUCUGAGGUUCGAGUCCCGGCGAGGGCA